CCACCAUGACCUUGGCGUGGUACAUCGGCUCUUCCUCCCCAGUCACCUACGGAGUCAGCAAAGGAGGUCGAUCGCUGAUUUUUGAACAAUCGCUGCUUCUCUCUCUUCCUCUGUUCUUUGUGGUCAGCAGUGUAGGGGCUGGUGCACUGCCUGAAGAAAGAUCAGACUGUUCAACUUACUACAAACAAAAUGGAGGGUUCAGCCUCUGCCUUUUCCAACUCUGAAGUCUCAAAGUCUGGAAAAUCUGGCACAUCAAGGACAGAGACCGCCUCCUUUUUGGGUGUUUGGCACCAACCAGGACGGCAUGGUAAGAGCUAAGAUCAACUGUUGAAGGUCUACGGGGCUUUACUGGAACUGGUCCAAGAGUCCACAACUCAGGAAGCAGCUUCU